CCCCGCCGGAGCCUUUGGCGUGUGCC
rnacentral:piRNA from 1 species